rnacentral:rRNA from 1 species
UACGUAGGGGGCAAGCGUUGUCCGGAAUCAUUGGGCGUAAAGCGCGUGUAGGCGGUCCGGUAAGUCCGCUGUGAAAGUCGGGGGCUCAACCCUCGGAUGCCGGUGGAUACUGUCGGGCUUGAGUACGGAAGAGGCGAGUGGAAUUCCUGGUGUAGCGGUGAAAUGCGCAGAUAUCAGGAGGAACACCGAUGGCGAAGGCAGCUCGCUGGGACGGUACUGACGCUGAGGCGCGAAAGCGUGGGGAGCAAACAGG